UUACUGGAGCCCGUUUACAACUGCAGAGUUUUAAUCCAUCUCGGUGGGAAUCAUGGUAGCAUCCAGAUACAGUGCUGGAAAAGAAACUGAGAGUUCUACAUCUCAAUCUACAGGCAGCAGAAGGAGAGACUGUGAGCCACACUGAGCAUAACUUGAGCUUAGGAGACCUCAAAGCCUGCCCUCUCACCCCACAGUGACACACUUCCUCCAACAAGGCCAGAGGUGGAGUUUCGUAGUAGACUUCUUGCCUAGUAUCCAUGUAGUGCUGGGUUCAGUUCUCACUAUCGGAAAACACUUAGGAAACGGUGUUUCUUUGGCUCAUAGUUUUGGGCUUCUUUCUACCCAAGUGGAGGAAGCAUGGUUAUGGGACUCUUCCUGCUCAUGUUGGCAGGCCUACAGAGCUGGAAAGAAACACUGGGCCAAGCACUCAAAUACAUGAGUCUCUGGGGGCCAUACUUACUCAAACCACCACACCCAUGCAGUAGAGUACACACACACACUCACACACACAUACUCACACACACACACACACUCACACACACACACUCACACACACAUACUCACACACACACUCACACACACACAUACUAACUCACACACACACACACUCACACACACACACACACUCCACACACACUCACACUCACAUACAUACACACACACUCACACACACUCACACACACACUCACACACACACACACACUCACACACAUUGCUAGUCUCAGUAUUUGGUUACUAAGGUUACUGAAAUCACAUCUUAAGAAGUAUUUAAAUCAAUUCUGAUGCUAUCAAGGUAAAAUGAUAAUACACUUUCAUUCUUGUAAUCUCUGGGGGUGUGUAUGAAUCUGUAUAAAGAAAAGACAAAACAAAACCCUUUGUGAUUCCAGAAGCUGUUAACACAGUGGAAAGGAACCUGGGUCAGAAGACCUAGGUAUGGGAGUUGUCUCCAUCUCCUGGCUAUGGAACCUUGAGUUUGUCCUCAGAAUCUUAGUAUCUUCAUGAACAAAGUGAAGAUGAAAAUCUUGUAUUCUGGGACAUGAAAUGGAUUUAAAAAGUUGCCAUACGAAAGUUAACACUAAAAAUUCUAAAACACGAGAAAGUUGAUAUUAUUGUAAAAAACUGUAAUUUUUGUCUGUAGCAAUAUCACUGAUAUUGUUAUUAUUGUUGUUAUUAUAUAAUACAAAUUCUUUUUUGCUUUCGUUCAUAUUAUUUUAAAACAGUGCUGUAAAAUCCAUGAAAACAUAGAUGCCCAAUAAGAAUCUGUAAUAAUCACUGAUACAAUGAGAGAAAUACUCUUAUUAGAUAUUUUAUUAUUGUCAUAUAAAAAUGGUCUUUAACAUUUUAGUAUUAAAAUAUUUCUCCUUCUUUACCUUUAAAAGGCAUCUUUAAUUGAUUUUGAACAUAAAGUGACACUAUUGCCAGGGUAUAAAAGUACAGUAUAAAUGUGGCAUUUAGAGGUACCUGUCAACACUGCUGAUCUGAUUAUGUAAUAUUGAAACAUGUCUGUACUCUUUUGGUUCAAGGCCCUCCUCCUCCUCUAUGGAGUCUGACCUCCACAGUCUGGAAAUUGAGUUAACUAUUAGAAUAGGUGGGUACCACAGGUGGUGUCUUUAAUAACAAGGGCAUCCAUUGAUUGGUGGGUGGGUACCAUGGCAGAAAUGAUGGGUAAUCCUUCUAAACCCCAUCCUUGUCUAAGUAGUUUUCAUUGAAGGUGUGUGGUUACAUGAUUAUCAGAAAGUAGUGUUGUGUCCAUCAACGGAAGUGCCAGACAAAAGGGUUUGAGCAGUGCCUUCUCUUCGAAUACCUUGUAAAUGUUAAGCCAAAAGACUUGGUGCAGUCCCAAAGCUGACUUAGAACUGUAGCGUUUAUAUAUAGUGCUCUGAGGAUACCCUGGGAGGUCAGCGACUCUAGAAAGCAUAAGACAUGUUCUCUUGCAUUUAUGACUCUUUCUGAAAUAAUAAGGUGUGAGAUCUAUAGGGACACAGGAGGGAGAUUUGUGUACAUAGGAACCACACUAACAAGAAAUACCAUUGUCAGUGUUUUAUCAGAAAGACUUUUUUUAUUAAAUCUUUCAGGAACAAGACUUGUAUU
rnacentral:lncRNA from 1 species